rnacentral:rRNA from 1 species
UUAUGCUAAUAAGAGCGUAUGGUGGAUGCCUUGGCACUAAGAGCCGAUGAAAGACGUGAUAAGCUGCGAAAAGCUUCGGGGAGGAGCAAAUAUCCUAUGAUCCGGAGAUCUCUGAAUGGGGAAACCCACCUGAGCAAACCUCAGGUAUCCUAACGCCAAUACAUAACGUUAGGAGGGGAACCCGGUGAACUGAAACAUCUAAGUAGCCGGAGGAAGAGAAAACAACAUGUGAUUCUGGAAGUAGCGGCGAGCGAAACCGGAAGAGCCCAAACCGGAGUGCGUGCACUCCGGGGUUCGGACCGCGGAAUUGAUCCAAAAGACUUAACAGAACGGCCUGGGAAGGCCGGCCAGAGAGGGUGAAAGCCCCGUAAGUGAAAGGUCGAUUGGCAUGGCGGAAUCCAGAGUAGGUCGAGACACGUGGAACCUUGACUGAAUACGCGGGGACCACCCCGUAAGGCUAAAUACUCCUUAGUGACCGAUAGCGCAUAGUACUGUGAAGGAAAGGUGAAAAGGACCCCGGGAGGGGAGUGAAAAAGAACCUGAAACCAUAUGUUUACAAGCUGUGGAACCACUUUAAAUGUGGAACCGCGUACUUUUUGUAGAACGGUCCGGCGAGUUACGCUGGCUGGCGAGGUUAAGUCCUUAAGGGAUGGAGCCGAAGGGAAACCAAGUCUGAAUAGGGCGAAGAGUCAGUCGGAGUAGACCCGAAACCGGGUGACCUAUCCAUGUCCAGGAUGAAGUUGCCGUAAAAGGCAAUGGAGGUCCGAACCCACAUCCGUUGAAAAGGGUGGGGAUGAGGUGUGGAUAGGGGAGAAAUUCCAAUCGAACCCGGAGAUAGCUGGUUCUCCUCGAAAUAGCUUUAGGGCUAGCCUCAUACAAGUCUUGCGGAGGUAGAGCACUGAAUUUCCUAGGGGGCGUCAAAGCUUACCGAAGAAUAUCAAACUCCGAAUGCCGCGUAGAUGGUGUAUGGGAGUCAGACUGCACGAGAUAAGUUGGGUAGUCAAAAGGGAAAGAGCCCAGACCUGCAGCUAAGGUCCCAAAAUGUGUGUUAAGUGGAAAAGGAUGUGGGAUUUCGAAGACAACUAGGAUGUUGGCUCAGAAGCAGCCAUACAUUCAAAGAGUGCGUAAUAGCUCACUAGUCGAGAGGUCCUGCGCCGAAAAUGUCCGGGGCUGAAACACACUACCGAAGCUCAGGAAUGUACUUGUACAUUGGUAGAGGAGCAUUGUAUACGGGAAGAAGCAGUACCGAUAAGGAGCUGUGGACUGUAUAGAAGAGAGAAUGCCGGAAUGAGUAGCGAGAGGAAGGUGAGAAUCCUUCCGGCCGAAUAUCUAAGGUUUCCAGAGUAAAGCUGAUCUGCUCUGGGUAAGUCGGGGCCUAAGGCCAGGUCGAAAGACGUAACCGAUGGACAACAGGUUGAAAUUCCUGUACCGCGAUAUAACAGAACUGUGGGGACACGUGUGGAGAGCACAAGCCGGGAAUGGAAAGCCCGGCGCAAGCNNNNNNNNNNNNNNNNNNNNNNNNNNNAAGAGUAGGGAAGAGUGUGAGCCAUGCGUCAAGAAAAGCCGCUAUUGUUUGUAUCGCGCCCGUACCGUAAACCGACACAGGUGGAUGAGGAGAGAAUCCUAAGGCCGACGGGAGAAGCAUUGUUAAGGAACUCGGCAAAAUGACUCCGUAACUUCGGGAGAAGGAGUGCCACUGAGAGGUGGCCGCAGAGAAUUGGCCCAAGCAACUGUUUAGCAAAAACACAGGUCUAUGCAAAACCGAAAGGUGAAGUAUAUGGGCUGACGCCUGCCCGGUGCUGGAAGGUUAAGGGGAGAGGUUAGCGCAAGCGAAGCUUUGAACUUAAGCCCCAGUAAACGGCGGCCGUAACUAUAACGGUCCUAAGGUAGCGAAAUUCCUUGUCGGGUAAGUUCCGACCCGCACGAAAGGCGUAAUGAUUUGGGCACUGUCUCAACAAUGCACCCGGUGAAAUUGAAAUACCAGUGAAGAUGCUGGUUACCUGCGCCAGGACGGAAAGACCCCAUGGAGCUUUACUCCAGCUUGAUACUGGGAUUCGGUAUUGCAUGUACAGGAUAGGUGGGAGGCUAAGAAGCGGUAACGCCAGUUGCCGUGGAGCUGCUGUUGGGAUACCACCCUUGCAGUACUGGGUUUCUAACCAGCGGCCUUAAACAGGUCGGGGGACAAUGUCAGGUGGGGAGUUUGACUGGGGCGGUCGCCUCCGAAAGGGUAUCGGAGGCGCUCAAAGGUUCCCUCAGAAUGGUCGGAAACCAUUCGAAGAGUGCAAAGGCAGAAGGGAGCUUGACUGCGACACCGACGGGUGGAGCAGGUACGAAAGUAGGACUUAGUGAUCCGGUGGUAUAAAGUGGGAUUGCCAUCGCUCAACGGAUAAAAGCUACCCUGGGGAUAACAGGCUUAUCACUCCCAAGAGUUCACAUCGACGGAGUGGUUUGGCACCUCGAUGUCGGCUCAUCGCAUCCUGGGGCUGAAGUAGGUCCCAAGGGUUGGGCUGUUCGCCCAUUAAAGCGGUACGCGAGCUGGGUUCAGAACGUCGUGAGACAGUUCGGUCCCUAUCCGGCGUGGGCGUAGGAUAUUUGAGAGGAGCUGUCCUUAGUACGAGAGGACCGGGAUGGACUGGCCGCUGGUUGAUCUGUUGUUCCGCCAGGAGCAUAGCAGAGUAGCCAAGCCGGGACGGGAUAAACGCUGAAGGCAUCUAAGCGUGAAGCCCCCCUCAAGAUGAGAUAUCCCAACGAAAGUUGUAAGACCCCUUGAAGACGACGAGGUAGAUAGGACAGAGGUGGAAGUGUGGUAACACAUGGAGCUGACUGUUACUAAUAGGUCGAGGGC